CAUUCCUCCUCUGUCCCUAUGUCUCUAUCAUGAUAGAUGAAUAUGACGACUCUCGUUACUCAAACGAGACCUGUGAAUCAGUAGAAACCUAUUUCUCUCCUAAAUGCUAUGCUUUGGCCAAUGCAUUAAAGGUCACAAAGGCCGAGAACUCGAGGUCCUACACUUUUUCCAUGGUCUCUAACCAGAAAAUAACUGACCACUUUAAUGGUGCUCCCCUUUACUGGACCUUUCACAUUGCAGAGAAGAACUCAGGGAGCAUAGAAGACGAAGACCGGUACUUUGAGCUCACAUUCAGCAAAAAACACAGAAAAAUGGUAAGCAACUCUUACAUUCCCCAUGUGAUGGCUGAGGCCUCAUUGCUGGAAAUGAGAAACAGAGAGAUGAGCCUCUACACCAACAGGGCUGCAGACCAUGAGGGCGGGAAAUGGUCCCCUGUCUCGUUCUCGCACCCAUCGACUUUGGACACCCUGGCGUUCGAUUCCUCGAUGAAAACAAGGAUUAAGAAUGAUUUGAUGAGGUUUGUGCAUCAAAAGGAGUAUUACAAGAAAGUGGGUAGAGCACGGAAGAGGGGUUAUCUGCUCUUCGGGCCACCAGGGACCGGAAAGACCAGCCUGAUCGUGGCCAUUGCCAAUUUCCUGAAUUUCGACAUUUACGAUCUCGAAUUGAGAUCAGUUAUGAGCAAUUUCAGGCUCCGGAAGCUCCUCACUUGGACAAACAGCAAGUCAAUUAUCGCCAUUGAGGAUAUCGAUUGCUCGCGGGACCUCGUGAACAGGGAAAAGAAGGCGAAGGCCAAGAGAGAGGAGGAGGAGGAAAUUGGAGGGAGGAGGGAAGAGAGAAGAUAAGAAGAGUUUGGUGAGCCUCUCUGGGGUAUUGAAUUUUGUGGAUGGGUUGUGGUCUUCUUGUGGGGGAGAGAGAUUGAUUAUUUUUACCACUAAUCACAAGGAGAAGCUUGACCCUGCGCUGCUCAGGCCUGGUAGAAUGGAUCUGCACAUUCAUUUGUCAUACUGUGGAUUUGAGGCUUUCAAGGUUUUGGGCAAGAACUAUGUGGGAUUGGAGGAUCACCCAUUAAAGGAGAAGGUGGGGGAAGCUUUGAGAGAGGUUGAGGUGACACCAGCUGAGGUUGCAGAGUGGUUCAUGGGCUACAAAGAGGACCCAGAUUUGGCCAAGGAGACUCUGCUGAAUGAGCUGCUCAAGAGGCAAGCUGGUGAGACUGAGGUUCCACAGGUGGGUGUUGAGGAAAAUGCAGCUAUGGAAGUUGGGGAAGAUGCAGUGUUAGGCAGUUGUGAUUAGGUUACAAUGUUGGGAUUAUUGAUGUCUUCUCUCUCUUUCACACAUAGGAUUUAGGA